GGCCCUCCGGCUGAGCCCUGAUCUCUAUGGUUUCCGCGGCUCGCUAGAAGGAGUGUGGUCCACCGGAGGACUCCCUACAUUCUUCCUCCAUUACCUCACUGCCUCCGGUGGCUGCUGGGAUACCGGAGGACUCGGGUCCCGGCUCGACUCAGUCCUCCAGCCGCCCGGGGAAUACCUCUAGUUCUUCCCGGCCGCCGCCGCCGCCGCCGCCCCGCCGCUUCCUCCUCCGCCUGCCGGCCUCCUUCGCCCCGUCCCGUCCGCGCAGCGCGUCCGGCCCGCCCGCAGGCCAGCUUCUCUCGGGAGCCCCCACCCAGGCGCAUGGCUCCAUGAAGCAAGAGGAGGAGGCAGAGCGCGAGAGGUCCCGUCCGCCCCAGCCGCGUCUGGGCCAGGAUAAAAGCAAAACCAUAUUCCUGCUGCUGUCAGUUAUGAUGCACUGAGAAAACUUCAGAGACCUAAACUUUUUCCAGAGAAGAGAAGCUUUACUGGUGUUCCAGCCCUAAGAAACUUAAAUCCUCAGUGUGACACAACUCAGUCCUUCUACUGCAGCAGCUCUUUUAUAAAAGCCUCCCAAAGCUCCAAGAAGGAACAAAGAAUGUGACCCAGUAAGCUCACACCAUAAAUCUAUAUUGCAGAAACCUUUGUUCAAGAAAACGGCAGAUGCUCUGUUGAAUCCACUGGAGAUUGUUCUGAUACUAAGGACAACAACCAUCUUUCCUGUGAAAAAUUCCCUCUCGUACUUUAGUUCUGUGGAUCCAAAAUUUAUAGCAUUCUUCUACCACCACAGGGGCUCAUAUGACAUUAACAGACAAGACACUUUUCAGAAAGACAGGUUGUUCUUUUGGGCCACAUCUAAGAAAUCUUUGUCUAGCCAAAAGCCACAAAUAAUUUCUCAUUUUUUGGCUUCUGGAAGAUGUACAGUUAAAUGUUAUAUUUGGGACUGUUAUCUAAUUUGAUUAAAUUGCACUCUACAAUAUGAUAUUUGAAUUGAUGAAAAAUUAGUAAAUGUUAAUAUUUUUUAAAGUAGCCAAAUCUUGCAAUUUAUAUAUAAUAGAGAAGACUAGAAAAUCCCCCAUAUUUAUUUCCUCUUACUUCGUACUACUAAAAUUUGUAUUUAGGCAUUUGGUUUCUCAGAUAAACAUUACAUUCCCCAGU
rnacentral:lncRNA from 1 species